rnacentral:rRNA from 1 species
CUACGGGCGGCAGCAGUGAGGAAUAUUGGUCAAUGGGCGCAAGCCUGAACCAGCCAUGCCGCGUGCAGGAUGACGGUCCUAUGGAUUGUAAACUGCUUUUGUACAGGAAGAAACACUCCCUCGUGAGGGAACUUGACGGUACUGUAAGAAUAAGGAUCGGCUAACUCCGUGCCAGCAGCCGCGGUAAUACGGAGGAUCCAAGCGUUAUCCGGAAUCAUUGGGUUUAAAGGGUCCGUAGGCGGUUUUAUAAGUCAGUGGUGAAAUCUGGUCGCUCAACGAUCAAACGGCCAUUGAUACUGUAGAACUUGAAUUACGUGGAAGUAACUAGAAUAUGUAGUGUAGCGGUGAAAUGCUUAGAGAUUACAUGGAAUACCAAUUGCGAAGGCAGGUUACUACGAGUACAUUGACGCUGAUGGACGAAAGCGUGGGGAGCGAACAGGAUUAGAUACCCGCGUAGUC